rnacentral:rRNA from 1 species
GGUGAAAAGCACCCCGGAAGGGGAGUGAAAUAGAACCUGAAACCGUGUGCUUACAAGUAGUCAGAGCCCGUUAAUGGGUGAUGGCGUGCCUUUUGUAGAAUGAACCGGCGAGUUACGAUUUGAUGCAAGGUUAAGCAGUAAAUGUGGAGCCGUAGCGAAAGCGAGUCUGAAUAGGGCGUUUAGUAUUUGGUCGUAGACCCGAAACCAGGUGAUCUACCCUUGGUCAGGUUGAAGUUCAGGUAACACUGAAUGGAGGACCGAACCGACUUACGUUGAAAAGUGAGCGGAUGAACUGAGGGUAGCGGAGAAAUUCCAAUCGAACCUGGAGAUAGCUGGUUCUCUCCGAAAUAGCUUUAGGGCUAGCCUCAAGUGAUGAUUAUUGGAGGUAGAGCACUGUUUGGACGAGGGGCCCCUCUCGGGUUACCGAAUUCAGACAAACUCCGAAUGCCAAUUAAUUUAACUUGGGAGUCAGAACAUGGGUGAUAAGGUCCGUGUUCGAAAGGGAAACAGCCCAGACCACCAGCUAAGGUCCCAAAAUAUAUGUUAAGU